rnacentral:misc_RNA from 1 species
UCUCCGUAGGUGAACCUGCGGAAGGAUCAUUAUUGUAUAACCGAGGUGCGAGGGCUGUCGCUGACCCGAAAGGUCGUGCACGUCCGAGUGCCCUCACACACAUCCAUCUCACCCCUAUGUGCACCACCGCGUGGGUCCCCCUUUGGCUUGUUCGGAGGGGGGCUUACGUUUUCACACAAACUUUGUAUGCAGUGUAGAAUGUAUUUUUUGUUUUUGCGAUCACGCAAUCAAUACAACUUUCAACAACGGAUCUCUUGGCUCUC